rnacentral:rRNA from 1 species
CCUACGGGUGGCAGCAGUGAGGAAUAUUGGUCAAUGGACGAGAGUCUGAACCAGCCAAGUAGCGUGAAGGAUGACUGCCCUAUGGGUUGUAAACUUCUUUUAUAUGGGAAUAAAAUGUUCCACGUGUGGGAUUUUGUAUGUACCAUAUGAAUAAGGAUCGGCUAACUCCGUGCCAGCAGCCGCGGUAAUACGGAGGAUCCGAGCGUUAUCCGGAUUUAUUGGGUUUAAAGGGAGCGUAGGUGGAUUGUUAAGUCAGUUGUGAAAGUUUGCGGCUCAACCGUAAAAUUGCAGUUGAAACUGGCAGUCUUGAGUACAGUAGAGGUGGGCGGAAUGCGUGGUGUAGCGGUGAAAUGCUUAGAGAUCACGAAGAACUCCGAUUGCGAAGGCAGUUCACUGGACUGCAACUGACACUGAGGCUCGAAAGUGUGGGUAUCAAACAGGAUUAGAUACCCCAGUAGUC